GGGGGUGUGGCUCAGUUGGUAGGGUGCUGGCCUUCUGUGCCCAAGGCCCUGGGUUCAAUCCCCAGCACCACACA